rnacentral:pre_miRNA from 1 species
ACAAGGUACAUAUCUGGUUGUUUCCUAUAUUCAAAGUUUGAAACAUCUGUAUCUACCUUUGUU